ACCGAAUUGGUGUAGGGGUCAACAUUCGGGAUUCUCAUUCCCGAGCCAGGAGUUCGAGUCUCCUAUUCGGUG